rnacentral:rRNA from 1 species
UCUACGGGAGGCAGCAGUAGGGAAUAUUGCUCAAUGGGGGAAACCCUGAAGCAGCAACGCCGCGUGGAGGAUGAAGGUUUUCGGAUUGUAAACUCCUUUUGUUAGAGAAGAUAAUGACGGUAUCUAACGAAUAAGCACCGGCUAACUCCGUGCCAGCAGCCGCGGUAAUACGGAGGGUGCAAGCGUUACCCGGAAUGACGGGGCGUAAAGAGCGCAUAGGCGGGUUAGCAAGUCAGGUGUGAAAUCCUACGGCUAAACCGUAGAAAUGCAUGUGGAACUGUUAUACUAGAGGACAGUAGAGGUAGGUGGAAUUCGUGGUGGAGCGGGGAAAUCAUUAGAGAUAAAGAAGAA